rnacentral:lncRNA from 1 species
GUGAGCGUGAGCUCCUCGCCUGGCCCUGGGUAGUGCACCUGUUGCCUUCCAGGUUGCCCGUCAGGUUCCGAGGCCCACCGGGGACAACCCCAUUGCCCUGGGAAGCUCUCUCUGGAGUCGUCACGGUGAGGGAGGUGGGCCUGCUCCCUGGUGGGGCGGUUGCCAUCUCGUCGUGGUUGCACUGUCUUCGCUGGGGUUGCACGCGGGUGUGGCAGCCAUCGAUUCUGGCGGCCGCGACCAUGCGAAGAGGGACUGUCAUACUUUCCAAACGGACCUCCUUGUGAGGCACCUGGACUAGUCUGAAGCCACAAUCCUGAUGAAGCUCGUGGUAAAAACGCCUACGUGGGUGAGAACCUAAGCCCAAGUGAGCUCCCAACUAGCACCUGCUACAGCUGGAUGAGUGAGGCCACUUUGGACCUUCCGGCCAUCUCAACACCCAAGCCAACACCGUGGGAAGCAGAAGAACCUUCCAGUCAGUCAACAGAAUUGUAAGAAAAUAAGCUGCUGACCUAGUUCCCGGCUACUGAGAUCCUGACUAAUUGUCAUCCCUUGCAAGCAGACCUUCACUGAACCUUAGGAGCAGAAAAUUCAGAAACAAAAGCAAGAAAUAAAAGAGCUGUCAGAAAGAAUCUACAUAGAACCCUGAAGUUGUGCUUUCAUAACUGAAUAAAUAACUCCUUGAGCAAUAAUUUGUUUGCAAGCUGUUAAUUAGCAGCAUAAUUAAUUUCUGCAGAUUAUAAAUAACAGAGCACAAAGUGGCAUUCCCAGUAGAGCCAAUGAAAAAUUACCUAAACCAUUUUAAGAACCAAAAAUAGUUCACAACGUAACAGAUUUAAAGGGGCUCUAGAAUCCGGGUGGUGCCAUUUUCUUUUUCCUCUGGGUUAAAAAGAAAGAAAGAAAAAAAAUUCCCCAGAAAACUCAAC